GUGCCAGCAGCCGCGGUAAUACGGAGGGUGCGAGCGUUGUCCGGAAUCACUGGGCGUAAAGGGCGCGUAGGCGGCAUGCCAAGCGUGUGGUGAAAGCCCGGGGCUCAACCCCGGGUCGGCCGUGCGGACUGGCGUGCUCGAGCACUGUAGGGGCGGGUGGAAUUCCGGGUGUAGCGGUGGAAUGCGUAGAGAUCCGGAAGAACACCGGUGGCGAAGGCGGCCCGCUGGGCAGGAAGACACCGCAAGGUGUCGGCUGACGCUGAGGCGCGACAGCGUGGGGAGCAAACAGGAUUAGAUACCCUGGUAGUCC
rnacentral:rRNA from 1 species